GACUGCAUCAGAGUCCCCUUAUUGGUUUGAAAUUCCAUUAAAUAUAUUGCAAGAGCUCCUAGGUUAAGCUUGAUUUAAAUUUGCAUACAUUUUCAUAUAUUUAGCAGAAAUAAAAGAAGGCUUGCAGCUACCAGAAAGUCAUUAAGGCAUUAGUUUCUCUGAGAAGACAGAUCUGAAGAAAAUUCAAGAAAAUGAGAAAAUAGAUCUAAAUAAGGUGGAGUUGAAUACAAUGUGAUUAACUACAAGCAAUGUUGUGAAGAUGAUGGUAUUCAGACACAUACCCAAACAAUUUGAUUCAGAUAAAUUGGAUACAAGACUUUGACCAGCAUGAGAAGAACAGGUGGCUGAAGUGCUCCAAAGGGAAGAGUUUGGAGAUGGGAACCACCUCCGGGACUCUCCGUACCCGUGAAGCUGCCAGGGGAGUGAGGAGCUCCAGGGAUACCCAAGGCACUGUGCAAGCAGGGAGCAUCCCAGACCUGUGGAGGAGCUCAGCAGGAGAAGAAUCAGUGGGGGAAAAUAGUCCUAAUGCUGUGUUGCUGGUGGUGGGUCAGGCAGUUUGAACAGAGGUCUGUGGUGCUCCAGCUCGUUGGGAACUUUUGUGCUCAGGCCAGGAGGAUGCUGCAGAUGGAGCUGAUCUGUGAAUUUCAAAUCUGUGCCUCCACCAGUGUUGACACGGUGCAAUGAUGCAGCCGAGCUCUCAGAUGUCUGGCUCGAAGAGUUGUGAAAUGAUCAAGCAGACAAACCCAACCAUUUCAGCCUUGUCAAUCUAGUUCUCAGUGGACAGAUGCCCUGGUGCUGGAAAAGCAGCAUGCCCUGCAACACCUCUUGGCAGUGUGGAAAAAGAGCCAGAGAUGUCCCAGACACGAAGUACGACCGGAUUCUCAGCUCAAAAAAUCAGGCUAAGAAUUUGCCAAGGGCAUCAACAGCAGUUUUCCCAGGCUUCAGCACAAGGAUUAUAUAGUCAAUCCACAAAUGACUCCAAUCUUUGAAGAAAAGGACAUGGUUAUCAGAGAGGCUUUGACGACAGCAAGGACCGGAGCACAAUCUGCCUUUUUCCAUCAGAGAUUCCCAUUCCCUCUCAUUAACAUACUCAGGACAUCAGCACAGCCAUCAGUCCCAGGGGAAUCACCUCACACUUCUCAGGGAAUAUGCACAGGACCUGGCCCUGUGUUAUUUCAAACAGAUCAAACCAGAUGUGCCUUGUGAAAGGUUUGGAGAAAGGCUGGGGCCCAGCAGCAUCAGGGGAGGGAUUCACAGGUUGCAGGGAGUUUUCAAAUCCAUUGUUACAUCUUGGUAAUCUUUCUUAUUUCCCAGGGUUUUUCAGUCCCACUGAGGAUGCAGAGCUGCUCUGUGAUAUCUGCUGCUGCUGUAAGUGUGAAAGGUGGUGCCUCUACCUGCUCCUUCCCAGCGCCCUGUGAUGAAAAAUGCCUUUGGAGGAACACUGGAAACAAGCCAUCAAAAUAUCUGAUUAAACCUCUUAGGAAACUCUCACUAAUCACCUUCUCUGCUCUUGAUGGAGUGUAUUUAUGCAUUAUAAAUAUACUUACUAUGUGUGUGUGCUCCAUAAAUCACAUCCAGCACUUGUAUAUGAUGUAUAAGCACAUUCUAUAGAACACACGCAAAUACAGAUGCCAAACUCCCACAGAGUUCAUCACUGGAAAAAUGUUUGAAGGAUCUGAUCCUUAAUAUUUAAUGAGCAAGAUGCUAUUUCCUUCCUCAGCUUUUAUCUCUGGUUUGGCAUAGUCAUUAAACUCGUUGUUUCCUUGCAGGAUUAUAUAAUUUAUGACCUAAUUUUAGACUUUUGCGUAACCGCGUUGAAACGCUCGUGGCGGAUCCGGAUUUCUCUGCACGGAGCGUUCCAGCAUCAGACACCAGCUCAAACAUGACUCCUGUGAGCUGCCCAUCAGCAAGGAGUUAGAGGCAUUAAAGGCAAACAGCCCAACAAUAUUCAGACAGCAUUACAGGAUUAGACGGUGGGGUUUUUUUCCCUGUAAAAAUCUGAUUUAGCAGCACUUCCCAAGCCGUGCGCAGCGGCCGCCAGGAAUCCCCAGGUACCGCAGUCAGCACCCAGCAACUCCAAUUACUGACUUUCAGACCCCUCUGGGAUAAAUUCAUUGUAGGGAGGGCUGGAGGAGGUGGGGAAGCAGGUGAAGAACGACUUUAAAGCCACUGCCAGCCCCUCGCCCUCUGGAAUUUCCCCUCAGCACCAGCCUGGCUGCUGGGCUGAUUUUUUGCUGCACAAGGUGUUGCCAGAUAACCCCUAAAUGAAUUAUUCUGAAGCUGUAGCCACAUUUUUUUGUGUGUCUUCUGUGUGUCCAGGGUAAUUCAGUGGUGCUGUAAAGAGUACUGUGAGCUGCAGGUAUUUUGUCAAUUGAAACCACAUUGUUUGGACCAGUCUUUCAUCAAAUUUAAUCUAUUGCCUAUUGCAUUAAUGCAUUUUGAGAGCACUUUAUUCUGGUGUCCCAUAGGGAAGUGGCUUGUGGUGGAGGAGGGUUUAGAAGCUUCCUUUGUGCCUGCAGUGCAGUUAUGAGGAAUUUUUCCUGGUUUUCUACCUUACCCUGGGAUAUCCAACACGGAUGACAGAGCUGAGAUGCUGCAUCCUCAGAGCAGCACCUUGGAGCUGUAGGAACCAUGUCCCUGCAGCCCAACACCUCCCUCUAACACAACAACCUAAUGCACAGGGUGAGGUGGGUGCCCACAUGAAAGAAAAAGCAUCCUUAGGAAAAGCUGAUAUUAUUUCUCGGAUUAAGAAGGAUCGGAGAGUGUCUCUGUUUGGCUUUAAUGGAGCAGUUCCAGGAAAGCAGCAGCGACCAAAGUAUUUUCAGUAGCACAUAAUUCAAGAGCAAAAUCAUAAUUCCAAUUACCAUUUCAGGCACUCCUGGCCUUGGGAAACCUAUGCUAAUAUUUAUUAUUAUAUUAUUGACCUCUGAUUUCUUCAUCAUUUACAUUAGCCACUCUGAUAUUCUUAGUAACAUCCUUUAAAUCAUAUAAGCAGGUGUCAACAGUGCACGAUGAAGUCACAUCCCGCAGCUUUUUUAUUUACUUAGUCCAUUUUUUUCCUGGCAAAAUAACAGUGUGAGUUGCAUAAUCUCACCUCCAUGGGGCCUCUAGGGGGGUAUAUAAUCACAGAAUGCAUUUUCUAUAAUCUCCCAAUAUGAGUCAAUCCUAUCAGAGGUACAAACAGUUGUACAAAGUCAGUGUUUCGCUCCCAUCACUGCCUGACAUCAUCUUCCACAUAACACAAGAAAAUAUUUACUUAGCUCUUUGACAUUAAUUGCCACAAAGCCUUUGAAACAAAAAAAUUGUGGAAAGCGAGGAACUGAAAUGGAAUAAUUUGAUUUAAUGAAUUUAGCCCAUUUUCUGUGUGCAGGAAUUAGAUUCAGAUGCUUUUUUAUAAUGUCUGGGAUGGCCAAGGACACCUCGAAUCUCUGUUCUUCAGUGAGGUCCCCAGGCACAAAUCAGAGUUACCCAGAAAAGCUGGAAGCUGAUCCUUUUCUCCAUUGUUUUCUUUGCAUAAGUGACCAUUUCUCUGGGGGAAUCAAGACACUGCAUUUAUUUUCCAGGUGCAGGUGAGGUGCCAAAAGCAGCCUGAGGCUUCUCAUUGCCUUCAGCAGAGUUGAGAAAAUUAUAUUUAUCCACAAAAAGACUACAAUUUUUUUUUCCAGAUUGUUCUUGUGAUGUGUCAAAAAGUUUUAAUUCUCUGUUUGUCUCCUGUACCCACUGCUCAUCUUCCUACCUCGGUGCAGCUCCUGCUGUUCCCCUCCAGAGAGCACAGCCACGGGCUUUUCAGCAUCUCCUCGGGAAACAUCUGGAGCUGGGGAAAGUGGGACCCAUCGGUGCCACCCGGAGAGGGCUGUCCUUGGUCAUCUUCAUCUCUCAUCCAUCAUUUUUUUACUGAAAUUGAAUCCUUCUGAACUUACAUUGCCUUAAAAGGUUUACCUGGCUCGGCAGGUGGCAGGGUUUCACACGGGUUUGGGAUCAUUUUGGCCACUUUUGGAAGGUUUGUGAGCCCUGCACAGGUUGUCAGGCAGGUGGGCCCUGCUCUGCUCUCUGGGCACGGAGCCCUAAAAAACCCCUCUUGAUUUCCACAGGUCAGGAGAGGGAAAAGGGUCAGAACAGCCCUAGAUCAUGUUUCUGAAGUCUGUAAGUGCAAUAAUCCUAAUCAUUAGCAGUUUCUGUAACAACACAGGUUACAGACACGGGACCAAACACCUGCAGGGAACCUCCUCAGGCGAAAUUCUCCUCGGCUUCAAUCACGUUUUUCCGGAGAAGAGACCUCUGGCUGCGCUCAGGGCCAUCCGCCUGUUCCUGGCUGAAGAGGCUCUUCUAAUCUACUGCUAAGAGACUUAUUAGCAAUGUAAAAAGGAACGUGAAGCAAGGAGAGUGUUCUUCCUAGCAGAAAUAUGUUUUGUAAAAUUAGAUUUGCUGACAGAAGUAAUUGGGCUGACUCCUCAUGACUAUGGAUGCUGUUUGUUGCCCUUAUCUUACCAAAGCAAAGGGUACCAAAUACUUCGAACUUUGUAAAUAAUUGUUUCCAAAGUGUUUUCUUUUUUUUUUUCUCUCUCUAUAAAUUCUUUAGAGAAAAGCUGGUUUGCUGGUUUCUAAUCCUUUCUCUUCCAAAGCUUCUGAAGCUCAGCCCCUUCCCACUCUAGAUAUCUUUUAUUUUCCCUCUUCGGAUUUUAAUAUUUGUUAGAUUACAAAAAUCACUUUUAAGGGGAAAUGCAGAGCUUUUGCUCAGAUUGGAAAAGUCGUUCUUAGAGCUUUAACAAAGUGGUGAAAGAGAGAAAAUUAUCAAAUAGAAGAACUUUAUGCCAGACUCUGGCAGAUGUUCUGUGGUGUGGAGAUGUGUGUCCAAAGCCUGACCAGUGCCCAGAGUGGGGUCCUGUCCAUUGGUCUGGCUGUUUUUUGUCCCUCCAGAUUCCUGCCCAGUGAAAGGAUUAGCCCUUUGCUGGUUCUUUAUUCCUUCUAGGAUGAAUCAGAGCCAGGACUUACUCUUCCCUACCCCACCAGGGCUCGCUGUCUCCUCCGGUGCCAAACAGAGGGGCACUCUUUGCUUGCUAACAGCAUUAUUUCUUAGUUUUAUUCCACUUUUUCACCCACAGCAACAAAUAUUAAUGCAGAAACAGGACACAAAAUGUCCCAGAGUGUGGGACAGUUUGUGUCCCGGAGUGUGUGCUAUUAAAGUAAGGUCAGAGCCUGCAGGAAAUCCACAUUUUUUGCAUAAAGCCAGGCAGACUCACGGAUGUGGGAAAACUGAAAUGCUGGAAAAGCAACGUGUCUUUCUCAAUCAUCCUUGCAAGUUGAACACGAUUUUUUUUCCAUUGUCUAUCUGCUAUCUAUCUAUUUCUGUACUCGUUUUGGCAAAAGACACAAAUAAUGAGAAAUAUCUGUCUGUAAUGGACAGUUACCCCCUGUGGGGUCUCGCAGGUGACAUGGGUGGGUGAGUUCUGGGCAGAGCUGCAAGACCAGAGAAAUAAAUGACAGCUGCCUGUGCUCAUGUUGCCAUUGGAGCAUGGGUGGGGGUUAAAUCCUGGUCUCCAACCUCAGGCAGCAACAUAAAGCAGGGAGCAGAAAAGCCCAGGAACCCGAGGUAACUUCUGGAGUCGCAGGAGCUUCAGAGCAGAUCCCAAAGGAAGGAUCCUUGUUGAGCUGCCUUGUGUCAGUCUCAAACCCAGCACAAAAAUCCCAUGGGGUGUCUGGUCCAGGUCCAGCUGCUGUUGAGGAAUGUUGAUGUGUUCAUGCCAUGCUGCCAUUCCCCAGCUGUUGUCCAAUCCAACAGGGGGGAAAGGUAGUUCCUGGGAAAGGCAGCUGUGACAUUUACUUCUUGAGUCUUCAAAUCGUAACAAACAUCUUCCUUGGUAGCAGAAGGCUCCACCAAGACUGAUCUUCUCUCCUUCUCCAAAGCCAGAGGUUUCAGGUCUUGGAUGCCACCAGCAGAUCAGGUGCUUGGCUGAUGAUUUGUUCCCUGCCCCAGGUGAGCUGGGAAGGAAUUUAGAAUCACAGAAUCAUAGAAUCAUGAAGGUUGGAAAGGACCCUUAAGAUCAUUGGGUCCAACCGUCAGCCAGUGCCACCCACAUGUUCACCACCAAACCAUGUCCCCAGGGGUCACAUCCACACAGUUUUUGAACACUUCCAGGGAUGGUGAUUCCACUACUGCCCUGGGCAGCCUGUACCAGGCCUUGACAACCCUUUCUGUGAUGAAAUUUCCCCUAAUGUACAAUCUAAACCUCCCCUGGUCAGCUUGAGGCCAUUUUAUCUCAUCCUGUCACUUGUUAUCUGGGAGAAGGGACCGACCCCCAGCUAAAUACACCCUCCUGUCAGGGAGUUGCAGAGAGUGAGAAGGCCCCCCCCGAGCCUCCUUUUCCCCAGGCUGAGCCUCUCCAGCUCCCUCAACUGCUCCUGCUGCUCCAGCCCCUUCCCCAGCUCCGUUCCCUUCCCUGGGCACGUUCCAACCCCUCGAAGUCAUCCUUGUCGUGAGGAGCCCAACACCGAACACAGGAUUUGAGGCGUGGCUGGGAUUUUUUUUCCCCUUAAAAAAACACCAAAAACCUAAAUAAAUCCAUGAUUUUUUUACGGAGGCACCUUCCAGCAGAGCCCAAAUGGGAAUGUUUGUGUUCCAUACCAUCCGUCAACGCCGCGGGAGCGGCUCCUCCAGCUCCUCUUUGGUGGCCAGAAGGAGCUGUCAGGGAGCCGCUCGGCCGCGGCGCCGGGCGGGGUGGGAGCCGUGCUGGCACGGAUCCCUCUGCACAGGGGAUUUCUGCUCUGACAAUUUUUGGCUCCUUUAGGUUACUUCGGAGCUGCACGGAAUUUUUAAUGCUCUGCACUCUCGCAGGGGCUGACAGCGAACUUAAAUACAGAUUGCAAAGAUAGAUCAUCUCCCAGCACCACUUUGUUUGCUGCUGCUCUAAAAUCAUUUUACUUGUUCCUGCAGCUCCUAUAAAGCCAGAAGAGCUCUCUAUAUUUGCUUCCCGGAUGCCUUUUUCUCCUCUGCUCGCGACUAUAAAAGCAGCUUUUCAUGCUCCAAAUCAGAGAUAAAUUGAAAUCGCUGCCGAAGAAAUAAAACACAAGGCUAAUCAAAUUGUGGCACAGGAAACAGCCUUCAGCCAGUGCAUUUUUUUGAGAGCUAUUUUUAGCCUAUAUUUUUAUUUUGUCACUCCAUAUGGGAAGUCAAACCCAUAUGGUUUGGGAGAAUGGAAGGUUGUGCUUUUACAGAGAUCUUGCAAACCAUCCCUGCCCGGCCUUGUCCUUAAACAGGGGCUUAAAUCCAAUUGUCUGCCGUGGGACUGGAGCACUUAAAUGCUCAGGCCCUGCCCGAGGUUGUAACAGCACGAUUCCCUCCUGAGGUGUAAAACUAUUCUACAUUCGUUAAACCAGUCUCCAGUUAACUUGGCUCUUCUUAAUUAGGGCUUUUCUCAUCCGUACACCUUCCUUUUUUCCUUUUCCUUUUUAAUUUCUCCAUCAUUCCAAUGCCCUGAUGGAUGGGGUUGGUCCAGUCCCAUCCAGGAUGCAAAGCUGAGCAUCCACAGCCAUCACUCUUUGGAGUAGAUGUUUGUGCCCUCCAAAUGCCCAAAUUAAUGUGAUUUCAGGGAAUAUGACUUUUUUCUGCCCACAACACCGUGGCACCUUCUGAGUAUGUUGAUGAAUAAAUACUUGGCUAGAAAAUGUCCUGCCUUUCUGAUAAACUAAAUGUAUAAAAUUAGAAACAUGUCCUCAGUGUUCAUCCACUAGAAUAUCCACUUUACUUGUGUUAUAGGUUGUUCAUGAUACUGAAUCAAAAAUUAUGUGUUUUCUAAGGAAUUUUGUGGGAUGGUCGAAAACACUGACAGAAAGUUUUUAACCUGGAAACAAUUUUCUCCUUUUUGAAGGGAUAAAGAGCAAUGGAAGUAGGACUGUUCAGUGGAGAAUUCCAUGUGGCAGAAGAAUGGGCAGCAUGGAGAUUUCUGAGAUGGUUUGGACAUCACUUUCAUCAAGUAGAAGAAAUAUUAUACUAAAAUAUUUCAUCAAAACUGAGACCUCAUAUGGAUUAUAUAUUGGAAAAUCCAGAAAACAACCACUGAGGUUUUUUCCCAGAGCAGAGAUCUUGUGUUAGAGGAGACAAUGUUAAAAUAACCAAGCCCCAGAAGGGACUAAAAGGAAAAACCUGAGAUUAGAGCAGAGAGAAAUUAUCAGAAUCUGUAAAAGUGAUUUGAUGAAGCCUUGUUUGUGUUCAAAAUCUGUGCUUGUUUUGAAAUCCAAAGAACUACUGUUAGUUACAUUAUUUUCUCAAAGGAACUUUAUAGCCAGGAAACACCCAACACUUGUAUCCCACUUUUAAAAAAACACUUUAUACCAUUCUGAAAUCCCAAAAGACAGUGAAAACCCUUGGAUUUGUGAUGCUUGGGAUUAUUGGAAUUAAUACAAGUAGUUGGGCUUUCCCCAGGAUGUUAUUCUGGAAUAUUUGAAUAAUAGAACUUCUGGCCCAGGUGUUUGGGGGGUGUGUUAUAUGGGCACAUAUAACUCACAGGAGCACUGCAAGGUGGACUUGUGAUGUCACCGUGAUUCCUGGACAUCCUUUGGCACCCAAGUGACUUUAGAAGGGCUGGAAUUUCAUCCCAGGCCAGGAGCAGCUGAUGGAGGUGAGGUGGAGCAGCUUCAAGUCAGUGAUGUAGAACUGAAAAAAUUGUUUGUCAUAUAACUGAUCUCAUCAGCAGCCCAGGGCACCCAAAUGUCACUUUGGAUUUUCUCCUGAGUUUCCAUUUACAUCAUUAAUAUAUAGAUAAUAUGUUAAGGUAUUAUCUUCAAAAAAAAGGAAAGAAAUAAUUUCUUUAUGAUAUGGGCAAUUUGUAGAAGACGUUCGUGUCAUUUUGCAUUCUAAAUGUGAUUUAUAUUUAUAAAUAAA